rnacentral:misc_RNA from 1 species
AACGCACCUUGCGCUCCUUGGUAUUCCGAGGAGCAUGCCUGUUUGAGUGUCAUUAAUAUAUCAACUUCUUCAGCUUUUGCUUGUUGAGUGUUGGAUGUGGGGGUUUUGCUGGCCUUUCUGAAGGUCAGCUCCCCUGAAAUGCAUUAGCAGAACAAUUUGUUGACUGUUCAUUGGUGUGAUAAUUAUCUGCGCUAUUGAACUGUGAGGCAAGUUCAGCUUCUAAUAGUCCAUUGACUUGGACAAUUUUUUUUCAUUUAAUGUGACCUCAAAUCAGGUAGGACUACCCGCUGAACUUAA